AUGAACGCUGGCGGCGUGCCUAAUACAUGCAAGUCGAGCGAACAGACGAGGAGCUUGCUCCUCUGACGUUAGCGGCGGACGGGUGAGUAACACGUGGAUAACCUACCUAUAAGACUGGGAUAACUUCGGGAAACCGGAGCUAAUACCGGAUAAUAUAUUGAACCGCAUGGUUCAAUAGUGAAAGACGGUUUUGCUGUCACGUAUAGAUGGAUCCGCGCCGCAUUAGCUAGUUGGUAAGGUAACGGCUUACCAAGGCAACGAUGCGUAGCCGACCUGAGAGGGUGAUCGGCCACACUGGAACUGAGACACGGUCCAGACUCCUACGGGAGGCCGCAGUAGGGAAUCUUCCGCAAUGGGCGAAAGCUUGACGGAGCAACGCCGCGUGAGUGAUGAAGGUCUUCGGAUCGUAAAACUCUGUUAUUAGGGAAGAACAAAUGUGUAAGUAACUAUGCACGUCUUGACGGUACCUAAUCAGAAAGCCACGGCUAACUACGUG
rnacentral:rRNA from 1 species